CAUUAAGUGACUGAAUUGAAAGUAUUGGUCUCUUAAACCAUAUUAUAGUAAGUAACGUAUACUCUUAAUG
rnacentral:tRNA from 1 species